rnacentral:rRNA from 1 species
UACGAAGGGGGCAAGCGUUGUUCGGAAUUACUGGGCGUAAAGGGCGCGUAGGCGGCUUAUCAAGUCAGGCGUGAAAUUCCCGGGCUCAACCUGGGGGCUGCGCUUGAUACUGAUUGGCUUGAAUGCGGGAGAGGAUAGUGGAAUUCCCAGUGUAGAGGUGAAAUUCGUAGAUAUUGGGGAAGAAACACCGGGUGGCGAAGGCGGCUAUCUGGCCCGUAAUUGACGCUGAGGCGGCGAAAAGCGUGGGGAGCCAAACAGG